rnacentral:rRNA from 1 species
GUUUGAUCCUGGCUCAGUAUGAACGCUGGCGGCGUGCCUAACACAUGCAAGUCGGAUGUGCCGCAAGGUGCAUGGCAGACGGGUGAGUAACGCGUGGGGAACCUACCUCUUUGUGGGGAAUAACGUUCCGAAAGGAAUGGUAAUACCGCAUGAGACCUAUGGCUGGGAUGCUGUAGGUGAAACCCGGGGACCGCAAGGCCUGGGGCAAGGAGAGGGUCCUGCGUCUGAUUAGCUAGUUGGCGGGGUAACGGCCCACCAAGGCAUCGAUCAGUAGCCGGCCUGAGAGGGUGAUCGGCCACACUGGAACUGAGACACGGUCCAGACUCCUACGGGAGGCAGCAGUGGGGAAUUUUGCGCAAUGGGCGAAGCCUGACGCAGCAACGCCGCGUGGGUGAUGAAGGUCUUCGGAUCGUAAAACCCUGUCGUCAGGGACGAAGGUCGCAUAUCUAAUAGGUGUGUGAUUUGACGGUACCUGGAGAGGAAGCCCCGGCUAACUCUGUGCCAGCAGCCGCGGUAAUACAGAGGGGGCAAGCGUUAUUCGGAAUUAUUGGGCGUAAAGGGCGCGUAGGCGGUGUUUUAAGUGAGAUGUGUAAUCCCCGAGCUUAACUUGGGAACUGCAUCUCAGACUGGAGCGCUGGAGUGCUGGAGAGGGUGGUAGAAUUCCACGUGUAGCGGUGAAAUGCGUAGAGAUGUGGAGGAAUACCAGUGGCGAAGGCGGCCACCUGGACAGUAACUGACGCUGAGGCACGAAAGUGUGGGUAGCAAACAGGAUUAGAUACCCUGGUAGUCCACGCUGUAAACGAUGAACACUUGGUGUGGUGGGAGUUGACCCCCGCCGUGCCGUAGCUAACGCGAUAAGUGUUCCGCCUGGGGAGUACGGUCGCAAGGCUGAAACUCAAAGGAAUUGACGGGGGCCCGCACAAGCGGUGGAGCAUGUGGUUUAAUUCGACGCAACGCGAAGAACCUUACCUGGGCUUGAACUGCUAGGGACCGGUGCAGAGAUGUGCCUUUUCGCAAGAACCGUAGCAGAGGUGCUGCAUGGCUGUCGUCAGCUCGUGUCGUGAGAUGUUGGGUUAAGUCCCGCAACGAGCGCAACCCUUACCUGUAGUUGCCAGCGAGUAAAGUCGGGAACUCUACAGGGACUGCCCGGGUUAACCGGGAGGAAGGUGGGGAUGAUGUCAAGUCCUCAUGGCCCUUAUGUCCAGGGCUACACACGUGCUACAAUGGGUGGUACAAACCGUUGCGAAAUCGCGAGAUGGAGCUAAUCGGAGAAAGCCAUCCUCAGUUCGGAUUGCAGUCUGCAAUCCGAA